rnacentral:rRNA from 1 species
AGCGAACGCUGGCGGCAGGCUUAACACAUGCAAGUCGAGCGGGCACUUUCGGGUGUCAGCGGCGGACGGGUGAGUAACGCGUGGGAACGUGCCCUCUGGUUCGGAAUAACUCAGGGAAACUUGAGCUAAUACCGGAUACGCCCUUUUGGGGAAAGGCUUGCUGCCGGAGGAUCGGCCCGCGUCUGAUUAGCUAGUUGGUGAGGUAACGGCUCACCAAGGCGACGAUCAGUAGCUGGUCUGAGAGGAUGAUCAGCCACACUGGGACUGAGACACGGCCCAGAAUCCUACGGAAGGGAGGAGGGGGGAAUAUUGUGCAAGGGGCGCAAGCCUGAUCCAGCCAUGCCGCGUGAGUGAUGAAGGCCUUAGGGUUGUAAAGCCCUUUUAUCCGGGACGAUAAUGACGGUACCGGAGGAAUAAGCCCCGGCUAACUUCGUG